UUCUCAGAAAACCCACUUCAUCACUUUAGAUUUACUAGGCCUGAUCUGGAAAUACAUAGUGGAGAAUGAACAACUCUUUCAUUCUUACGAAACUCUGCUCGUCAGCUAACUUCGGCGUCUAAAAACUCCAUCUUCUGUUGCUCAGAUAGUCACGACUUCUUCAUAAAAGUUGUUCAAAAUCGAGUCUUCUAAACUGUCUUCAAAUUUCAUGAAAAUCCAACGGUUGAAUCUUCCAAAAUCAAGUCCCUCUUCGAAAUGGGUCGAGUUCUUCUCUUGAGAUUGAAUUCAAUUCAUGAAGUACUCAUUUCAAUCUUGAGCAAGUUGAAGCCAUCAAGGAGAGAGAGAGGCAAAAGGAGAACAUAUGCAAUCUGGGUACCCCACCCAGCCCAACACCAACGCCGCCCAGCACCCGCCGAAACCCACCUAUCUGCUCUGGGUAUUUGAGUUUUUGUUAACGAAAUCCGGGAUCUAGUGAUGAUUCUGGUCAUGGGUAUGCAUAUCCUCGGUCCAGCGAGAAGAUGAGGAUGAGAGCUUCCGGAUAAAGACCCUCUAUUAACCAGACGGAGAUCAGGAGAGAUGUGAAAGAAGAA